UGUUCACGAUUCAUAUUCAACAAUGGGAAAACCCAUUUUCGGGGUGUUUCGUUAUUUCAUUGUUCAAAUACGUGAAAUGAAAUUGAGAGCACGGACUCGUCACCUUAUGCUAUUCUCAACUUUGAAAAUGAAAGUUGAACAAGGAUGUAUAUCAUUGUCCAAAUAGGCGAACGCACGGAACCGUCACCUUAUACCAUUCUCAACUUGGAAAAUGAAAAUUGAAACAAGGAAGUUGGGAGACAGGGGGGAAAGUGUCAAAAUAAAAGUUGCGUACGUCGUUAUGUCUGUCCGGUGCCAGACCGACGGGGAUGCCGAUGGACGCCUAAUCACGCCAGCACGCCGGCGAAAGAAGUUGUUCCAGCAGUAGCCUACCCGAGAAGCUCAGCAGUGCCAUUCAUAGAAUCGCUCAUCUAGCAAUACCAAGAAAGUACUUAAAACCGAGCUGAAGAUGGCAAGCCCAAGUUGGUAAACCCAAAUACCCCAGCAGGGUGUCAGAAGUCCACACUGAUGUCCACCAAGGAGGCCCGCAUCUAUAUCUACCGGGAGAAGAGGAUCACAUUACCAACACCUCAAAAGGAGCUGAUUAACCCGGACAAUGCCUUAGCCCACGUGGAAAAGUUCAGAGCAGAGUGUGUCCCGGCGCCAUCACGCCAGCUGUGCCUGGGCUAACUGGCUCUGACCUUUGGCCAGACAUGAACGCACCAUUCUGCUGGCCUGUGGAAAGCUGUGGUGGCUACAUAAAGUUGUAAGUAUUUCACAUUCAAUAUCAUUGUGGGCUAUUCAUUUUACAUUGCUGAUAAACAGCCUCACAUCAAUCCCUUCUCCUGUGCCCAUCACACCCGCUGUAUUCCAGCUGGGUGCACACGUUAAUGUUUUGGUUGAGAGAAACCCAGGAACUGUCCAGAGUACAUCAUCCCUCUGCCAGUCGUUUUCAGUGUUCUGGUCUCUCAAGUAUUCUUUAACCCGGCCCUUUUAAUACCCAAUGUUGUGGCCCCGUCUUUUGACCAUACCACAUCACUAAAUGACAAGCUGCUUUCUAUGCUCUGUACCUUCAUGGCACCUUUUGUUCCCUUCACUGUGGCCCCUUUUUGCCUCUACUUGACACAUAGCUUUCCAUGUUCAGGUCUUACAAGCUAACUUCAACCUGGCAGUUUAAAUGAUGUGGUUCUCUGUUAUGUUAUCAGUGUUCUGCUCUUACCAGUGCUCUAUAACACAGCACUUAUGGUUUCCUUGUGUUGUGAUGCUGUGUAUUGUUGUCCAAUUUCAUACACUUUUAAAUAUGUUCUAUGUAUAUAGUCUUAUAGCUGCUUUGUCUCUGUGGCACAUUUUUUUGUUCUCUUCUUUUCACUGUGGUCACUUGCUGCACUCUCAAUAAAGUGGUCAGUGCUACAA